AAUGUACGCUGUUUUAAUUGUACUUUUACUUGUUUCUCUUUGUUUUAAAUGUUUAUAAGCUCUUUUUUCUUUUCUUUUUUGUUUCUUGUUUUAAAUGCUUUUAAUCAUCUAAAGCACAUUGAGUUACCUUGUGUAUGAAAUGCGCCAUAUCAACAAAUUUCCUUUGCUAUGGCUGUGUGCCAUAAUUUAAAUUCCUAUGAGUUAUGUGUUUUGUGUUUUGUGUUACGCCAAACUUUUUGGUAUGUAACUUAGCAGGAGAUAUGUGCUCAAAUAUCUGUCAGCUCGUGUGAGCCACAGGCUGAAUAACGUGUGUCGCUCUGUUAAUAAACUGUUGACUGCUCGAGCCUCCUGUAGCCUGUUAGCUCCAAAGCUAACUGAUGUCAAGCACCUCUCGUCAGGGCGUAGAAAGCCCUGCGACGACUUGGUGUAAUAUAAUCCAGCCACAGGCGGCUUUAAGCAGAUGUAUUUUUGCACCUCAAACAUGUAGGGAUGUGUGUAUAAUACUCCUACUACUACUACUACUACUACUUAUAAUAAUAAUAACCAUGGACAUUUGCGUCAUGCAGCCAUCCUUGUUUCCCAGUAACAUCAUCUGUGCAGUAGAUCCAAUAGUCUCCACCAGAUGAAUUUUUUUUUUCCAAAGUGAGCAUGCGCAAGCAUAUAACAUACAUUCAUGACAGUAGGAUACAGAGCAGUGCCGUUCAAAAUAAUGAGCUUUAUAGCCAACUGAAAUGUUUUUCCAUUGAAGUUGUAGCAGACAUGCUCCCUGCAAACUGAGGUGAAACACUGACUCCCCACGGUUUGAUAAACUGCAUCCUUCGAAGCCGCCCUGCUGUGAGACUCCCACAAGAAGGACCCUAAAUUAAUUUGCAGGUCCCCUCGAAAUCUUGGUUUACUGUCAUCAAAGAGUCCUUUCUUUGAUUGAACUCACAACAGGCCAAAAGGGACCGAUCGACGAUGGAAUGCAAAUACAGCAACAAUCUAUCCAUCCAUCCAUUUUCUGAGCCGCUUCUCCUCACUAGGGUCGCGGGCGUGCUGGAGCCUAUCCCAGCUAACAUCGGGCAGGAGGAGGAGUACACCCUGAACUGGUUGCCAGCCUAUUGCAGGGCACAUACAGACAAACAACCUUUCACACUCACAUUCACACCUACAGGCAAUUUAGAGUUGUCAAUUAACCUAGCAUGCAUGUUUUUGGGAUGUGAGAGAAAACCGGAGUGCCCGGAGGUUUAAUAUCCAAAUUUGCACAAAAGGUGCCACCCAAUGGCGUUUGUACUGCAACCCGUGAACUCUCAUUUGAUGUUUAACCAAGGAUAAAUGUCUGUUUUGAUAUUUUACGAAGUCUGCAGAAAUAUUCCAAAUGUAUGCCUUGAUGUCUGUGUCAGUGUGUCAACUUUACAAGCGCAAUUGCGAGAUUUUGAGAACUCUUUGUCUUGAUUUGACUCCAAGCAGCAUGAAAUGUGAUUUGAACCAUAAGCAGUUGAUUGGCCAAAACUAAAGUUUAAACUGUCACUCAAUAUGUUUGACCUGUGAGUAAAGAGUACAAAGUUGGAGUUAUAUUAAUAUAUGAUUUUAAACCCAUUUUAUGGGUCAAAAUUGGUGUCUAUAUUCAAGCUGAUAGUUGUGGUCUUUUCCAGGUUUCUCCGUCCCUCUUGAAAACGCCCCGCCCCUGGGGUAUUUAACUCCUGCCUCCCGCCUUCUUGGCUCGCUUGUGUUUUUCUCUCGUUUGUUUUUGCUCUCUUCGUGUUCUGUCUGGCCUCGGCCACCCCUCCCCCCUUUGCCCUUUUUUUUUGGUUCGGGCACACGCCUCGGUAACCGCGGGCUUUGGGGAUGGAGAUCCGGCUCCCUAGCCUCCGUGGACCCCCGCUGCUAAGCCUCCGGAACAGUGGCUGCUGAGCUACCCAGAUACGCUCCCAGCCAAACGUGAGUUUUCCGAAUGUGCUAGCGGACCCCGGACCCAAGGCGGGGAGAGAUAUAUUGGGAUAUUCUCCCAAGGAGGCGUGACGAACAACCAUUUUUAAUCUUCCGCCUCUUAUGUUUUGUUUUCUUCUUUUUCUUCUUCAACGAAACCUGUCUCCGUGCUUCCUGAGACACGCCCAGAGAGAGACCACACCCAGACACCAGCUGCUCUACUUCGUGAGUAGACACUGAAAGGUGGACGUGACUGAGGACAGCAUGCGGACAUUAAAGGGGGAAGGGUGCGCGUGAAGGAGGACGCGAAAGGCACGCCCCCACUAGGUAUAUAGUAUGUGCAUUGUGCAAAACAACAUGGGUUUGGCUAAGGACCCCCGAAAAUGGCACCUACGAAGAGACACGCUUACGAAGCGCAGUUUAAACUGCAAGCUAUCAGUUACGCGGAAAGAACAUGGGAAUCGAGCAGCCGCGAGAGAAUUCAAGAUCAACAAAUUCAUGGUUCACAAGUGGACGCCUGGGCUAAGGUAUCUGCUUUGACUGAGCUUUCGCGAAAGCCGGCAUCAUUGCUGAACAGCCCCCCGGCAACGUCACUGACUCCGACAAGUAUGAGAGGGAACCUGGCGUGUUUGAUGGAGAACUUGCCCAGCUGUUCAUUUCGGAUACAGAACAUGAUGACUUUGAUGGAUUUGUGGAUGAGGGUUGAUCAAAAAAUAACAACGUUUUUCGAUAACACUGACGCACAGCAUGCAAUGAGUGACAGCAUCAACACACCAGAAAAUCAGGUUAAUGACAUGAUGAAAGAUGGCACCACAUUACUUGGAAGGCUGG